CGACGAUGCCCGGGGUGGUAGCGGUGGUGGUACCAGUGCCCGCAGGGAAGCCCCAGAAAGCAGGUGGCGGGGAGGGCGGUGGCAGGGGCGGAGUCGCCUCGGGCCCCGCUGCUGGGAUGGGACCCCCUUGGUGCCUGGCCCCCGCACCCGUGGCAACCCGGCGGCAGCCCUGGCAACGACGGCGGCCUUGGAAACCCCCGCCCCCCGUUUCCCCCACCUGGAGUCACGCGAACAAGCUGGUGCUGCUGGCACUCCGAGUCCUGGGCACUGUCAAAUGGUUCAACGUCCGGAAUGGUUACGGAUUCAUCCACAGGAAUGACGCCAAGGAAGAUGUCUUUGUUCACCAGACAGCUAUUAAAAGAAGCCCAGGAAGUUUCUGCGCAGCGUUGGAGAUGAGGAGACUGUGGAAUUUGAUGUCGUGGAAGGAGAGAAGGGUGCAGAAGCCGCUAAUGUAACUGGGCCCGGGGAGGUGCCCGUGAAGGGCAGCUGUUAUGCCCCCAACCUACGUAAGUUUCGCCGAUUCAUCCCCCGGCCUCCCUCAGUUGCCCCACCACCCAUGGUGGCAGAGAUCCCUUCAGCGGGGACAGAACCUGGCAGAGAAGGGGAACGGGCCAAAGACUCCGCGCAGCGGCCCAGACGACGGCGCCCCCCACCCUUCUUCUACCGACGGUGGUUUGUGCGAGUCCCUCGGCCCCCCAGCCAGCAACAGCCUACAGAGAGCACUGACGGGGUAGAGCCCAAAGAGCCCCAUUGGAGGGGCAGCAACAGCAGGGAGGUGAGCGGGUUCCCCUACCUCAAUUCUGGCCCAGACCACCCCAGCCAGCCUACCACGGAAGGUGGGGACGGUGAGACCAAGCCCAGCCACGGUCCCGCUGAUGGUCCCCGGCCUGAGCCCCAGGGCCCACGAAACCACCCCUACUUCCAGCAGAGAGGGCAGCAGGCCCCGGCCCCCGGCAGCCCGCAGCCCCUGAGACCUCAGCCCCUAUCAACAGUGGGGACCCCGCCACCACCAUCCUGGAGU
rnacentral:lncRNA from 1 species